AUGAUGAUGAUAAUAAUAAUUGUAGUGAUGAUAAUAGCGUUUGUUGUUGUGAUGAUAAGAAUGUUAAUGAGGGAUUGAUGAAAAUGUUUUUGGUAGUGAUUGUGAUGAUAAUGGUGAUGAUGAUGAUAGUUUUGAUUGAUGAUCAUAUUGAUAAUGAUGAUAAUGAUAAUAAUUGAUGUCGGUGGGGGUCGGGAUGGUGACAAUGAUUAUGGUCAAGAUGAUGUUGCUUGUGGUGCUGCAUCAGUUACUUUACUUGACUUUUUGAGACGUCCGUCCGUCAGUUGACGACACUUGACUUUUGUAUAAGUUUUUCUCUUGGGAUGAUAUUUUUACUUAUGGCUUUAGCCUUAUAUAUAUGUUACAUAUAUAAUUUCAUGAAUUGUUAUAUAGCAAACCAAAUUUCAAUUCCAUGAAAUUCCGUGGUUCAAAAUCAGUUAUCAAAUCAGACCUGAAAACGAAAUUAGAUUCACAAAAAAUACCCCUAAACGAAGGCCAUUUUCUGCGAAUUGAGAACAUUUCCAUACUCUCUGUCAUUACCAUUAAGUUCAAUCAUGCCAUUAUUUAAUGACAUUUGCAAUUCAGUCUCGUUUUAUAACUAGUAUAAUAGAGAGAAAUCUAUUUUAGAUAUUAACUUGUCUGAGCCAUUUCGUAAACAGAAUAUCUGCAGCAACCCCUAAUAAAAUAUCGACUCUGCCGCGAUCCGCAUUAUAACGAAUAUCGCGCAAAGCGGGAAAAAUUAGAGAAAAUAAGAAUCCCUAAAGAAAGUCCAAAACGGCAAAAUUGAAAAUGUUGCUAGCUCGGUUUGAUUGAAUCUGUUCAUAGACGGUACUGUCAAGUGCAAACUACGUCCACCCCCCCCCCCCAACCAACACAGGCUUAAGCAGAAUUCAACAUUUAAACAUGAAAAUGGUGAAUUUUUGAAUUUAGAAACAUCCGUAAAUGAGUUCAUACGGCGGUUAUCAUGGAACCUUCUAUGGAACACUUUCGUGCCAUUCCAUGAAAAGCGGCAUAUGGUCCCCAAGUAAAAGAAAGCGUGGGCACUAAACGAGAAAACAAUUGGCGGAACAAAUUAGAAUGGAUUUUUGAAAGGGGAUCAGAGGUUAUGAAGCCUGCAUAUCACAAAUAAGACGUCAAAAGACAGAUCUAUUCAAAAUAAUCCACUUAAAUCAAUUAUACAGGCAUUCAAACCAAAGACAAAAACAUAUAUGUAUUUAAUGUCAAUUUCAAACCUUUCUAAAGCUGCAGCAGCUGAACAAAAUACAUACAGUGUAAAACAGCUGAUUUAUAUUCAUCAUCACAUGGUAAUCUUACAUUAACAUAAGUAAGUUUUAUACAAGAAAAUUAUAUAAAUAAGUCUAUAAAACAAUAAACGAGUUUGCGAUGUAUUGCCAACUACAAAUGUAUAUAAAUCUAUACUACAUCUUCUUUAUAUGGUAAAUGGCCUUGAACUCGUAAAUAUUUAACUACAGUUCCCACGCUCUUAUAAAUCGAAACUGAAACAAAAACGUUUUAUUUAUUUAGCAUGCGCGGCGAAAUAUGCGUUUUAGUAAUACUCACAGAAAAUCUAUUUAUAGUUACACAGAAGUAAUAUCUAUUUUAAGAACAAAAUUUCCCAGCAGCGAACAUAAUAUAUAUAUAUAACAUUGGGGGAAAUAGUAACAGUGCAAAACGAAACAGGAGCCACAUUUGAGUUCACAAGUGAUUUUGGAUAAACUUCCACACGAGUAUAUACAAAUUAUCUAUUUUCAAAGGAGGGAAAUAAUCAAUAUUGACAAUAAUGCGGCCAAUCGCCGUAUUUCUGAUAGGAGUACUAGUGAUGGCGCUUAUAGUCUGCCAUAGUGAAGGCAAACGGCGCAGAAAACUUUGUCGAUUUAACAAGAAAGCAAACACGUGCACUGAUUUUAUUCCAAAGAAACGACGAAAAUUUGGCAAAAUGAAAGUAGGACGAUGUGCGAAAAAAGGCGGGACUUGCGAAUUAUUUCAAGGCAGGAAAAAAAUCCGUUGUUUUUGUGACACCCCCUUUGACGUUUAGGAAGUGAACGAUGAAUACAUAAAAUAACACGAAUAAUUUAAUACGGGUAUAUAUUAGACCAAAAUUGAUGUAUGUUGUACAUUAGUGAAAGUAAUCUAAAUUACUUGUGAAAGUUUUACAUGUGCAGCCCUGUGUAGACGACGUGUAUAUUAUACAUUUUCAAAUUUAUAAAUAAUUUUAUUGCAAUGCUUUUGAAAUUGUGCACUUUAGCGGAUACAGUUAAACCUCAUUUAUAAAUACGUUUUCAACGGAAUAUAUGUUAUUAUAACGAAACUGUGUAAUCUUAAUGCCGCAUACUUAAAACUGUUUCUUAAAUGUUUCGCCAGUAAGCCAAUGUAUAUGUUUUACAUUUUUGUUGUUGUAGAAAAUACAACAAAACCAUGUAAAUGAAUGUAAAUGUUACAUUAUAUGCUCAUUUGCAAAUAGAUUUCAUGUGCAGGCUUAAUUAUUUGUAUGAAAAUGGGACAACUAUACAGGUUUAACUGUAAUUAAGUCAGCAUUAUAGAUGUGUGAGCUUUGUGUUCAGGAGUGUGAACAGUCGUUACACUAGGAUUUGUGACUAUGAAUAUGUUCCACAUUUCUAAAAGGAUAAAAUAAAUUACGUUGUAUUUGUUUA